UACAAUGUGCCUUUCCUCUGACCGAUCACUGCAGCAGCACCUUCCCUUCAAACACUGAGAAGAAAACCGUCUUCAGAGCAUCUGUCAGACAUCUUUCUCAACCAAAGCAGGGGCCAGAAGAUCCUGCUGGCAACAGACGCCAAGAUGGCUCGCCUGUGCUGGAUGGUUGUGGUUCUGGCCUUCUUCCUGUAUGACAGUGUGGCUGCUAAGGAACAUAAGCUGCUUGGAAG